GGCCCCUUAGCUCAAGUGGUUAGAGCAGGCGACUCAUAAUUGCUUGGUCGCUGGUUCAAGUCCAGCAGGGGCCACCA
rnacentral:tRNA from 1 species